GUCCGUCUUAAUCUUCAUCCCUAAAAUACAAGCCCUCUAAUAAAACCAGCCUAAUUAAAAACUAAAUCAAAUACACAAGAAUAUACAGGUUUUUAGAUUGGCAAACAAUGAAACAUAACAAAAUAAGAAUUAAAUCCAUGCUAGACCCAAACACAAAAUUAUUGAACCGUAUAAAAGAACAUAUACAAAUGGAAAAAAAUGACAAAUAGAACUUCAUACAAUAAUUGAUAGUUUGUGAUGAUUGUAUAAACAAAUUAUAA
rnacentral:misc_RNA from 1 species